UAAGAAUGCAAUGUCAAUUGUUAAAAGUAUAUCAUCACCAUUUUGAAGAACCAGUCCGGAGUCCAGGGAGAAAGGCGGAGAAAGAGGCAGGAGGAGAAAGUGGAAGGAAACCUCGGCCUGGCAAAUAGUACAAUGGAAUAUGGAAUAUGACAUGCAGGCGAUAAAGUUAUGCCGGAGACACACCAAAAAGGACGCAGGACGAAACGGGACUAAAGGACGCAAAAGGACGACGGACACGGUACGCCGGAGAGGCUGAAAGGCCCAGUUUUUCAGUUUAUCCAUUGGCAGUACCCCCCUGGUUUUGGCCAACAUGCGACAAUUCAAUGCUGACACUAACAACAAGCUAAAAACAACAAAAAAAAAAAA
rnacentral:sRNA from 1 species